ACAACUGUAGCUCAGCUCGUAGAGCACAAGCACUCAAAUCUGAGACUUGGAUGCCUGUUCAAGUCAGGCCGGUUGUA